rnacentral:rRNA from 1 species
UGGGGAAUUUUGGACAAUGGGCGCAAGCCUGAUCCAGCCAUGCCGCGUGCGGGAAGAAGGCCUUCGGGUUGUAAACCGCUUUUGUCAGGGAAGAAAAGGUUCUGGCUAAUACCUGGGACUCAUGACGGUACCUGAAGAAUAAGCACCGGCUAACUACGUGCCAGCAGCCGCGGUAAUACGUAGGGUGCAAGCGUUAAUCGGAAUUACUGGGCGUAAAGCGUGCGCAGGCGGUUAUGCAAGACAGAGGUGAAAUCCCCGGGCUCAACCUGGGAACUGCCUUUGUGACUGCAUGGCUAGAGUACGGUAGAGGGGGAUGGAAUUCCGCGUGUAGCAGUGAAAUGCGUAGAUAUGCGGAGGACACCGAUGGCGAAGGCAAUCCCCUGGACCUGUACUGACGCUCAUGCACGAAAGCGUGGGGAGCAAACAGGAUUAGAUACCCGUGGUAGUCCACGCCCUAAACGAUGUCAACUUGGG